CCUACGGGAGGCAGCAGUGGGGAAUAUUGCACAAUGGGGGAAACCCUGAUGCAGCAACGCCGCGUGAGUGAUGACGGUCUUCGGACUGUAAAGCUCUGUCUUUAGGGACGAUAAUGACGGUACCUAAGGAGGAAGCCACGGCUAACUACGUGCCAGCAGCCGCGGUAAU
rnacentral:rRNA from 1 species